rnacentral:rRNA from 1 species
UACGUAGGGUCCGAGCGUUGUCCGGAAUUAUUGGGCGUAAAGGGCUCGUAGGCGGUUCGUCACGUCGGGAGUGAAAACUCGGAGCUUAACUCCGAGCCUGCUUCCGAUACGGGCAGACUAGAGGUAGGCAGGGGAGAGCGGAACUCCUGGUGUAGCGGUGAAAUGCGCAGAUAUCAGGAGGAACACCGGUGGCGAAGGCGGUUCUCUGGGCAUGUCCUGACGCUGAGGAGCGAAAGUGUGGGGAGCGAACAGG